GAAGCUUCCUAGUUCUUGUAUUUCAUAGCAAAUUGAGUAGAAGUCACUGAUAACCCUGGCAUGGCCCAAUCACCAUUGCUCUGACACAUCCUCUUCCCUGCAGGCCUCUGCACUUGCAGAAUGGCUCAAGAAGGUCUUCACAGCUGUAUAUGUACCUUUUGUUCAAGAUGCCUUCCGUGUGUCGGUCCCACUGCCCAACGUCCUCAACACCAACCUCAGGAACGUUGAAGUCAACAUUGCUGACGUGGAUGAGUUUUCUGACCAGACCACUCUGGGAAGGUACUGCUCAGGAGGAGACUCGACGCUGUUCCCUUUUUGAGGCAGCACAUGCACCCCAAGCCCUGCUCUGCUGCAUUCUCUCCCUCUUCCUUUCUCUCCAGUACUGCUCUGUGCUGUGGCUGCGGCCUGAGCAGGACAGGCAGCAGCCUCUGGCCAGCAUCAUGUGGGAAAGCUGCUCGGCUGGUGGAUAUUUGGGGGUUCCUGUGGCCACUUUUAACAUCCAUAGCCAG
rnacentral:lncRNA from 1 species